rnacentral:rRNA from 1 species
GUGGGGAAUUUUGGACAAUGGGCGAAAGCCUGAUCCAGCAAUGCCGCGUGUGUGAAGAAGGCCUUCGGGUUGUAAAGCACUUUUGGCAGGGAAGAAACAGUGCGUGCUAAUACCAUGCGCGAAUGACGGUACCUGCAGAAUAAGCACCGGCUAACUACGUGCCAGCAGCCGCGGUAAGACGUAGGGUGCAAGCGUUAUUCGGAGUUACUGGGCGUAAAGCGUGCGCAGGCGGCUUUGUAAGACGGAUGUGAACGCCCCGGGCGCAACCGGGGAAGUGCAUUCGUGACUGCAAGGCUAGAGUGUGUCAGAGGGAGGUGGAAUUCCGCGUGUAGCAGUGAAAUGCGUAGAGAUGCGGAGGAACACCGAUGGCGAAGGCAGCCUCCUGGGAUAACACUGACGCUCAGGCACGAAAGCGUGGGGAGCAAACAGGAUUAGAAACCCGAGUAGUCC